rnacentral:rRNA from 1 species
AAGUUAGAAAGGGCGCACGGUGGAUGCCUUGGCACUAGGAGCCGAAGAAGGACGGGACUAACACCGAUAUGCUUUGGGGAGCUGUACGUAAGCGUUGAUCCAGAGAUUUCCGAAUGGGGGAACCCACUAUCUUUAGUCGGAUAGUAUCCUUACGUGAAUACAUAGCGUAAGGAAGGCAGACCCAGGGAACUGAAACAUCUAAGUACCUGGAGGAAGAGAAAGAAAAAUCGAUUUCCUGAGUAGCGGCGAGCGAAACGGAAAGAGCCCAAACCAAGAAGCUUGCUUCUUGGGGUUGUAGGACACUCUAUACGGAGUUACAAAAGAAAGUUAUAAAUGAAGCGGUCUGGAAAGGCCCGCCAAAGACGGUAACAGCCCGGUAGUUGAAAUGGCUUUCCCUCCAGAGUGGAUCCUGAGUACGGCGGAACACGUGAAAUUCCGUCGGAAUCCGGGAGGACCAUCUCCCAAGGCUAAAUACUCCCUAGUGACCGAUAGUGAACCAGUACCGUGAGGGAAAGGUGAAAAGCACCCCGGAAGGGGAGUGAAACAGUUCCUGAAACCGUGUGCCUACAAGUAGUUAGAGCCCGUUAAUGGGUGAUAGCGUGCCUUUUGUAGAAUGAACCGGCGAGUUACGAUUUGUUGCAAGGUUAAGCGGAAAAAGCGGAGCCGUAGCGAAAGCGAGUCUGAAUAGGGCGCAUAAGUAACAGGUCGUAGACCCGAAACCAGGUGAUCUACCCAUGUCCAGGAUGAAGGUAAGGUAAUACUUACUGGAGGUCCGAACCCACGCACGUUGAAAAGUGCGGGGAUGAGGUGUGGGUAGCGGAGAAAUUCCAAUCGAACUUGGAGAUAGCUGGUUCUCUCCGAAAUAGCUUUAGGGCUAGCCUCGAGGUAAAGAGUCAUGGAGGUAGAGCACUGUUUGGACUAGGGGCCCUUCUCGGGUUACCGAAUUCAGAUAAACUCCGAAUGCCAUGUACUUAUACUCGGGAGUCAGACUGCGAGUGAUAAGAUCCGUAGUCGAAAGGGAAACAGCCCAGACCACCAGUUAAGGUCCCCAAAUAUAUGUUAAGUGGAAAAGGAUGUGGGGUUGCUUAGACAACCAGGAUGUUGGCUUAGAAGCAGCCACCAUUGAAAGA